AACGUAGGUGGCGAGCGUUAUCCGGAUUUACUGGGCGUAAAGGGUGUGCAGGCGGGAUGACAAGUGGUGUAUGAAAUAUCCCGGCUUAACCGGGAAGGGUUAUGCCAGACUGUCAUUCUAGAGUGCGAGAGAGGGACGUGGAAUUCCGGGUGUAGUGGUGAAAUGCGUAGAGAUCCGGAGGAACCCCAGAGGCGAAGGCGACUUCCUGGCCUGUUCUUGACGCUGAGGCGCGAAAGCUAGGGGAGCAAACGGG
rnacentral:rRNA from 1 species